CUCCAGUCCAGCCUCCAAGGAAGCCUGUAUUUUUCCAUGGAAUCUGCAGUCUUGACAUUCUCUGUGCCCCAGGCAUUUCCCACUGCCCACCUGGCAGUGGACAAGGACACGGGUUUGUGGGAAUCUGUCCUCAAGAGACCUGUGUUCCUGCCUGAACCCAGCCACAAUUCAUAAGAGAGACUGAGGUCCAGAGAGGGCCAGAAACCUGCCCAAGCCACACAACAAUGGAGGCUGGGAAUUGGCCUGGUGGUCUGAUGAGCCCUCUUGGCUCAGAGGGUCAUUGUGUAAGACACUCCCUUGUGCUGUGGGAACACGAGUAAGUCUCUCUAAGCCCCCACCCCUUCCCUGGCCUCAGUUUCCCAACUGAUGGUCCUCUCUUGUGCUUCUGGCUUGGUUACUGUCUUCUGCAACUUGUCAUUGCCAGUGGGUGGCCUUGCUCCAAACUUGGCAGAGAGCACCCAGCACUUCCUGGGGAUUCUUCUUGCAGAAAACAGGUCAGCCCCUCUCACUGUCUUUGCUCGAGCUAGAAUAGUCCAGAACAAGGAAGGAGACACCAUGUAAGCAUUGCGGGUACAGAUUUCAGCACUCACAUGCUAGGAGUCAGUUUAAGUGUAGAAACAAGAGACGGGGGCUAGACCUGAGGAAGCCCCUUCCGAUCCAUGUGAGAUGGUCUGCCUGAGCCGGCCUAAGCCUCCAGAGAGUUGUGGAACUUUUGCCUCUCCCAGCAGCUGUGUGUGACUUCAGGCCUCUCAUUCAGCCCCUUGGUCUCAACCAUACAACAGGCAUACUAAGCACUAAGUACUAAGUGGUCACUAAAGCCUCUUCUUCUUCAAGGCGACAGUUGAGGAAGAGCUAAGUGGACCUGCAGCUAUGAGGGUCCUUCUGACCACCCAACUGCUCACUGUCCUGUUGACAAAUGCCAAUUCCGUGUUAAGGUGAGAGAGACUUGGCUUCCUACCGCUGUCUGUACUCCGUGCUUCUAGGAAGGGUCUCCAGGCACAGCGGAUGCUGAGUCCUGUGCCUUAGUCUAUCCUAUGUGCAUCCCCUCAGAGUCCCUGAGAUGCGUGGCUAAUCUUGGUGUCUGCGCAGGUCUGGGAGUGUGUUUUGUGUGCAGCCAUACAUGUCACAGUCGUAGCACCCUUUAGCUUGUCCUUGCAUACCUGCUGCCAGGCAGCACUGGGCGGCUCUGGGUUCUGCCUGAGCAGAGUUGCUCAGGGUCCCCACAUGCAGGAGCCAACAGCCAGAGAAAUGAGGAACAACUAUCAGAGGGGUGGGGCGCUACUCAGGGCCAAGGAUAGCAACAUGGCCACACAUGGUUCUGUCCAUGGGGGGUCAGAACAUGGACGUAGCAAAGACCAGGUGUCAGGGCGAGUCAGGUCUCCCUCAUUCAAGCCAAGACACCAGCCUUGAGCCAGGGCCUAGUGUGGCCAGGCCUUCUUCAGCCUGGAGAGGACAUGGGGGGAGGGGGUAGAGAGGGUGGGAAAGGACCAGGAUACAGGGAGACGAAUUGAGGCUGGUAUCCCUGAUGUGUGAACUGCCCCUGCUAUGGAGAGAAGGCUCAGGAACUAGGGCUGCCAAAGGGGCAGGAGUGAAGACUAUCAGGGUUCCCUAUAUCCAAGGUAGCCAGUACGGGACCUGGGGUGCAGGGGCAGAGUUCUGAACCAGGAAUCAGCAGAAGCCAUGAGAAGCUGGGCUGAGGUGGGAGGCUGGCAGUCACCCCCAUCUCUGCUCCACUGGGACCCCAGCCAGGCUGAGUGCCCACCCACCAACUCCCUGUGUGCCCACCCGGCUGGAUCAUUCUGGAGCAGCUCUCCAUUAGGGGCGGGGGUUGGGGUGGGGGUUGCUGCCAGCUGGCCGAUGCAGACACCCCCAGAGAUGAGAGUUCAGAUGCCCAUGCCAGUUAGAGGGCGGUGUUCAAGGCUGCCACCCCCACCCUGGCGGCUGUGUUUUCCUGCUGUUCUCUGCAAUUCCAUUUAAAUACCUCCCAGAGCCAGCCCAGCAGCAGCCGCUUGCUUCCGGCACCAUAAAAGGAGAGAGACUGAGAAUAGCUGAGCCAUGACGCAGCAAGGAGCUUCCCCACGCAGGAAGGCUCUACGCGCAGAGCCUGCCACCACCCAGGGCCCACCCUGCCCUGCACCUGCUCUGCCCCUGCCCUGAAGGAGAGGUGGGGACCAGGGUCCCUGGCAGAGGAGCCGGAGACUGGUGACAUUGCCCCUGCCAUGGUGGCUUUGUGACUCUUAACAAACCAGACCUGCACAAAGACCUUAUAUCAGAUCCUUCAGGACUCAAUGUGGACAUGACCCAAAGCCUUACUGCAGCAACAUCAGUACCAGCCCCGCCAAGGCUCAUAGGAGAUGGGGUGAGAAAGCCUCAGAAAAGAUCCAGAAGAUAUGCUGCUGUCAGGUCACCGAGAGAGGAGACCCAAUCUUAAUGAAGGUGACAGCAGCCAUCACAGUCCCAUCCAGGUUCCUCUCCCAGGCCUCACCCGACUUCUCAUGGUACCCAGGUCCAGUGUAUCUGGUCAUGGGAAGCCUGUGUUGACUCUCACCCAGGUAGGUGGGCACAGAGCAGCCCUUCUUCCACCCUUUCACCCAGUUAACCCACCAACUUGCCUACCCAUUGUUCUCUAUUCUCUACCCAGAGGACAAAGACUGUGGCUUCUUUCUUGCUGUGCAUGUACUUCUGUGGAAACAACGCUGUGACGGGAUGCUUCUGCUCUUCCACCAAGCAGCAAGUGCUGGAGGUGGGGGCGGGGGCGGGGGCGGUUCUACCCAGGCCCUCAUAAGCAGGGGACAAUCUUCUCCAACCAGAUGCCAGCAGGAUGAUCUUCCUUGAACAGCUGCAAAGGGCCAGGUAGGGCUCAAGUAACCACACCAUGGCAGAGGAAACUACAUAACCCGGAAAUAAUACCUGCCUCUCACUGGUCUAGGUAUUAUGGAUAUGAGCUCCUUGUGCACACCUACAGGCAAUGAAGGAGCAGUCUUUACUUGCCAUCAGAGCUGAUAAAUUAACCUCCUUCCAGGAAAUGAGAGGUGAUGUGAAAGGCCUCUUGACAAAUAUACAGAGAAGGCUCUGCUAGUGGGAAAGGAGCAGUCAGGAAACUGUGACAUUGACUUGUGGUAGGAAGCAGGAAUGAGCCAAGCAUAGCAGCCUAUGUCUCUGAUGCUAACACACAGGAGACUAAAGCAGGACUGCCAGUUCUAGGCCAGCCUAGGUUACACGGUAUCUGAGAGGCAGGAUAGAGCAGACAGGAUAUAGGGGGAGCCAGAGAACACUCUGCCCUGGAGAGCUUGGGGCUUUCUGAGGGCCUCAGUGGCCACUGGACAAAGGGACAUCUCCCCUGGGACCCAGGGAUGAACACAAUGGGGGCUGUUGUUGUAGAAGGUGCUCUGGGGACAUCACGUAUCUAGUAGUGGCAAUACCAGGAACAGGUCAAGGUCAGCCAGCACUGGUCCUAGAAUGUGGUCUGAUGGACACAAACCUUAUGGACCCAGCUCAACCAGGCCUGACCGAUCCUCUUACAGUAGGGACUCUGCACUCCGCAUGCCCACUGAUGCUCAGGCAAGUGUGACUUCUGACCUCUGACCUGCAGCAGCUUAAAUAACCAUAACAAUUACACAACGGUCCCCCAUAUAAAUCAGAAACCUUGCAGCACAUGAGCAUGCAAAUGUCACCCAGACACACAGAAAAAGUGGUGUGACAGAAGCAUGACCCUGGUCAACAGGGACCAAAGAAUCACAACAAAGACUUCUAAAAACAACCUAGUUAUAAUAUUCACACAUACAGGAAAAGCAAGACAACACUCGCCCACAACUACAGCUGUCCGCAAUGACCAUCCUCAGUUUAGACAGAUACAGAAACACAAACCAACAUUCCCCAAACCCCUCUGGCUCUCAGAGGUUCGGACAAAAGUCUCUUGGUGUAGCAGCCGUCGACCACUGGAAUGAAAACUGGUAAUACAGCCACAGGAAUCGCAGAGGGAAGAAGGUCAAAGACAAAGCCACGGUGAACGAACAGAGCUAACGGCUGCAGACAAGGGCAAUGGGAGUCACAGGCACAGCAGCCACAGUGCUACUCCUCAGCUACAAAGCUACAAUGUCAGGAAAACAGUCACGUCCUCCGACAGCUGGUCUCCAUAGAACUAACCAGUGCAGACACAUAUUCCACUGGAGUAGUGCUAACCCACCUACCGCCUCCCCUCACCCCCACCCCGUGAGCUCCAAGCCACUGAGUGUUGUUCUGUGACUUUGCAAACCAUUCACAUAAAGGCUGUUACUUUGAAA
rnacentral:sRNA from 1 species